GAAGAAACUUCAGAAGAAGGCUGUAUGGGAAGAUGAUUAUGAGAAAGCUGACCAGUUCAACAAGAAAUUAGCUGAGUUGAAAAGAGAGAAUUCCUUAAAGUUCCAGCUACCUUCCUCCCAUCCUUGUAUUGCAAGAUUUGUGCAAGAAAUUGAACUUCAAGCACAAGUUGCUGAGCAUUAUAACAAUCCAGGUAAUUUACUGCAUACCGUAGAAGAGAGAUUUUCAGAUUCAACACCUCAUAAUCUACACAUGUCAUGGUCAAGGA